UCACUGCUAUCGGGGUUCGAUUAAGCCAUGCGAGUCGAGAGGGUUCGGCCCUCGGCGUACUACUCAGUAACACGUGGAUAACCUGCCCUAAGGAAGGGGAUAACCUCGGGAAACUGAGGAUAAUACCCUAUAGGUUACAGACGCUGGAAUGCCCUGUAACCGAAAGCUCCGGCGCCUUAGGAUGGAUCUGCGGCCGAUUAGGUUGUUGUUGGGGUAACGGCCCAACAAGCCGAUAAUCGGUACGGGUUGUGGGAGCAAGAGCCCGGAGUUGGAUUCUGAGACACGAAUCCAGGCCCUACGGGGCGCAGCAGGCGCGAAAACUUUACAAUGCGGGAAACCGUGAUAAGGGAACCUCGAGUGCCUGUAUAUGCAGGCUGUCCAGGUGUCUAAAAAACACCUGAAGAAAGGGCCGGGCAAGACCGGUGCCAGCCGCCGCGGUAAUACCGGCGGCUCGAGUGGUGGCCACUUUUAUUGGGCUUAAAGCGUUCGUAGCUGGGUUGUUAAGUCUCUUGGGAAAUCUGGCAGCUUAACUGUCAGGCGUCU
rnacentral:rRNA from 1 species